rnacentral:hammerhead_ribozyme from 1 species
AGCCGAAACGGCCCCCUUUUUGGGGGCUGUCACCAGGAAUUGCCCCACCUGGUCUGAUGAUGGCAGGGCAGA